AGAUGGUAUUUCAAAAAACAAGUAGUUUCGUCUUCACGCCAAAAAGUGAUCAGUUUUUAAAAUGAGAGAAAUGGAUUUCGAAACCCAGCUUUCAUGUGGCAUGUCUCUUCGUUUUGCUUUGGUAACACCUCCUUAACAGUCAAUUUCAAUUUGAUGGAUCAGCUUGAUGUUGAUGUGCGAAUGGUUAAUCUGUUAAACAUGUGAUCAGAUCAGUCUUUUUAUCAGGGUAUUGCGGAUGUAUUGAGCUCGUGUAUCUUAGCUCAUCUUUAUCUCUAAACCCCGUUAAGGGUUUCUUAUUUUCUUAUUUUUAUUUUUUUUUAAUUAAAAAAAAAAAAUUUAAAAGCGCACCAAUCGCAG
rnacentral:lncRNA from 1 species